UCCCUUUUUUUCCUUUUUUUCCCCUUUAUUUUCCCUUUAUUUUCCUUUUUUCCCUUUAUUUUCCCCUUUUUUCCUUUAUUUUCCUUUAUUUUACUUUUUUUCCCUUUACUUUACUUUAUUUUCCCUUUUUCCCUUUUUUUCCCUUUUCCCUUUUUUUUCCUUUUUUCCCCUUAUUUUACUUUUUCCCCUUUUUUCCUUUUUUUUCCCCUUUUUUCCCCUUUUUUUCCCUUUUUCCCCUUUUUUUCCCUUUUUUCCCUUUUUUUCCCUUUUUUCCCCUUAUUUUACUUUUUCCCCCUUUUUCCCUUUUUUUCCCCUUUUUCCCCUUUUUUCCCUUUUUUCCCUUUUUUCCCUUUUUUCCCUUUUUUCCCUU
rnacentral:lncRNA from 1 species